rnacentral:rRNA from 1 species
UACAGAGGGUGCGAGCGUUGUCCGGAAUCACUGGGCGUAAAGGGCGCGCAGGCGGCUUUGUUUGUCAGGCGUGAAAGCCCCGGGCUUAACCUGGGAACUGCGUUUGAUACGGCAGGGCUAGAGUUCGGGAGAGGAGAGUGGAAUUCCCAGUGUAGAGGUGAAAUUCGUAGAUAUUGGGAAGAACACCGGUGGCGAAGGCGGCUCUCUGGACCGAUACUGACGCUGAGGCGCGAAAGCGUGGGGAGCAAACAGG